rnacentral:rRNA from 1 species
UUCCGGUUGAUCCUGCCGGACCCCACUGCUAUCGGGGUGGGACUAAGACGUGCUAGUCGUGCGCCUCCAAGCCACGGUGGAGGCGCGGCGCACAGCUCAGUAACACGUGGCUAACCUACCCUUGGGACGGGGACAACCCCGGGAAACUGGGGCUAAUCCCCGAUAGGUGAGGACUCCUGGAAUGGGUCCUCGCCGAAAGGGCGUCUAGACCAUGCUUCUAGACGCUGCCCAAGGAUGGGGCCGCGGCCGAUCAGGUUGUUGGUGAGGUAACGGCUCACCAAGCCUAAGACCGGUACGGGCCGUGAGAGCGGGAGCCCGGAGAUGGACACUGAGACAAGGGUCCAGGCCCUACGGGGCGCAGCAGUCGCGAAACCUCCGCAAUACGCGAAAGCGUGACGGGGCCACCCCGAGUGCCGUCCGCUGAGGACGGCUUUUCCCCAGUGUAAACAGCUGGGGGAAUAAGGGGAGGGCAAGUCGGGUGUCAGCCGCCGCGGUAAAACCAGC